UCUCUCUCCCUCUCCCUCUACCUCUACCUCUACCUCUAUCUUCUUCUCCCUCUCUAUUUUCUUUCUCUCUCUCUUUUCUUUUCUCUCUCUCUUUUUCUUCUCCCAAUCCCGUCGACUCCUCUUUUCCGUCGGAGCCGCCGUCGCAGUGAGGGGGUUCUGCCGCCGAUCCACGCUACUGCCGUCCAGCCGAGCCGCCUUCGCCGCUACUACCGUGGCUGUCUUCCCCGGCGGAAAUCGCCGCUGCUCGCUGCUCACCGACGGGGUCAGGGACAGCGCUGCUGCUCCAUACCAGAAAUUGCCGCCGCCGUUCGUGAACAGCCUCCGGAGAACAGCCCCGCACAAGCCCGAAACAGCCCCGAUUCCCUCCGAACAGCCCCGAACCCAACCCGAUUUCAACCGAACAGAUUGGUUCUCAUUCAAAAAUUGAAAGUGGGAGAUGGAAAGUGGAAGAUCACUUGAAAGAUGGAGAGUCUCCAUGGAGUGGAUAAGUUGGCGCAGGGUAGAGAGGAGGAAUAAGCUUGUGCUUGCAAAAAGUUCUAUGAAGAAAUUGGGCCCAAAAGAUAUCCCUUUUAAUUUAACAGUCCAAAGCCAAAUUGUAAAAUAAAACAUUGGACUUUAUUUAAUUGAGAAGUCCAAAUUUUACUUUUCGCA